GUGCCAGCAGCCGCGGUAAUACGGAGGGUGCAAGCGUUAUCCGGAUUUAUUGGGUUUAAAGGGUCCGUAGGCGGGCCGAUAAGUCAGUGGCGAAAUCCCGCAGCUUAACUGUGAAACUGCCAUUGAUACUGUCGGUCUUGAGUAAAUUUGAAGUGGCUGGAAUAAGUAGUGUAGCGGUGAAAUGCAUAGAUAUUACUUAGAACACCAAUUGCGAAGGCAGGUCACUAAGAUUUAACUGACGCUGAGGGACGAAAGCGUGGGGAGCGAACAGGAUUAGAUACCCUGGUAGUCCACGCCGUAAACGAUGCUAACUCGUUUUUGGAUUUUCGGAUUCAGAGACCAAGCGAAAGUGAUAAGUUAGCCACCUGGGGAGUACGAUCGCAAGAUUGAAACUCAAAGGAAUUGACGGGGGCCCGCACAAGCGGUGGAUUAUGUGGUUUAAUUCGAUGAUACGCGAGGAACCUUACCAAGACUUAAAUGGGAAUUGACAGAUUUAGAAAUAGAUCCUCCUUCGGGCAAUUUUCAAGGUGCUGCAUGGUUGUCGUCAGCUCGUGCCGUGAGGUGUUAGGUUAAGUCCUGCAACGAGCGCAACCCCUGUCACUAGUUGCUAACAUUAAGUUGAGGACUCUAGUGAGACUGCCUACGCAAGUAGAGAGGAAGGUGGGGAUGACGUCAAAUCAUCACGGCCCUUACGUCUUGGGCCACACACGUAAUACAAUGGCCGGUACAGAGGGCAGCUACACAGCGAUGUGAUGCAAAUCUCGAAAGCCGGUCUCAGUUCGGAUUGAGUCUGCAACUCGACUCUAUGAGCUGGAAUCGCUAGUAUCGCGCAUCAGCCAUGGCGCGGUGAAUACGUUUCCGGGCCGUGCACACACCGGCCCGGUCAAGGGGGGAAA
rnacentral:rRNA from 1 species